rnacentral:rRNA from 1 species
GAGUAACGCGUAAGUAAUCUACCCUCGCAUCUGGGAUAACCCACCGAAAGGUGUGCUAAUACCGGAUACGUCUAAGUUAAUAUCUUUUUUUUAGAGAAAGGUGGCCUCUGAUUCAAGCUACUGUGCGGGGAGGAGCCUGCGUACCAUUAGCUAGUUGGUAGGGUAACGGCCUACCAAGGCGACGAUGGUUAGCGGGUCUGAGAGGAUGAUCCGCCACACUGGAACUGAAACACGGACCAG